rnacentral:tRNA from 1 species
GGAUAUAGCCAAGUCGGUAAAGGCACAGGACUUUGACUCCUGCAUUUCGUUGGUUCGAGUCCAACUAUCCC